CCCUUAGAUGUUCUGGGCCGCACGCGUGCUACACUGAGUGGAUCAGCGGGUCAGGUUGCGCGAAAGCGUUUCCUAAUCUUUAAAUCCGCUCGUGAUGGGGAUUGACGGUUGCAAUUUUCUGUCAUGAACGAGGAAUACCUUGUAAGCGCGGGUCAUCAUCCCGCGCUGAAUACGUCCCUGCCCUUUGUACACACCGCCCGUCGCUCCUACCGAUUGAGUGGUUUAGUGAGGGCCUCGGAUUGGUCUCGGCCCGCUCUUUACCGGGCGGCGCCGUUGGUCGAGAAGACGCUCGAACUUGAUCGUUUAGAGGAAGUAAAAGUCGUAACA
rnacentral:rRNA from 1 species